GAAUAUUGGACAAUGGGGGGAACCCUGAUCCAGCCAUGCCGCGUGUGUGAAGAAGGCCUUUUGGUUGUAAAGCACUUUAAGCGAGGAGGAGGCUACUCUAGUUAAUACCUAGGGAUAGUGGGCGUUACUCGCAGAAUCAGCACCUGCUAACUCUGUGCAAGCAGCCGCGGUAAUGCAGAGGGUGCAAUCGUUAAUCGGAUUGACUGGGCGUAAAGCGCGCGUAGGUGGCCAAUUAAGUCAAAUGUGAAAUCCCCGAGCUUAACUUGGGAAUUGCAUUCGAUACUGGUUGGCUAGAGUAUGGGAGAGGAUGGUAGAAUUCCAGUUGUAGCGGUGAAAUGCGUAGAGAUCUGGAGGAAUACCGAUGGCGAAGGCAGCCAUCUGGCCUAAUACUGACACUGAGGUGCGAAAGCAUGGGGAGCAAACA
rnacentral:rRNA from 1 species